rnacentral:rRNA from 1 species
AUUGAACGCUGGCGGCAUGCCUUACACAUGCAAGUCGAACGGAAACAGGACGCAAGUUGCUGUCGAGUGGCGACCGGGUGAGUAAUGCUAAGGAAUGUGUAAAGUCGCGGUGGAUAUCUACUCGAUACAGUAGAUAAUACCGCAUACGAUCUAUGAUAGAAAGCGGGGUACCGCAAUGCUUCGCGCGGUUUGUGCUGCCGCUGUCAGAUUAGCUAGUUGGUCGGGUAAUGGCUCACCAAGUCAACGAUCUGUAGCUGGUCUGAGAGGACGACCAGCCACACUGGGACUGAGACACGGCCCAGACUCCUACGGGAGGCAGCAGUAGGGAAUUUUCGACAAAGGGCGCAAGCCUGAUCCAGCAAUGCCGCGUGCAUGAAGAAGGCCUUCGGAUUGUAAACUGCUGUUAUUCGGGACGAACCAGCGCGUGUGAAUACCCGGAGGUAUUGACGGUACCGAAAGAAAAAGCACCGGCUAACUACGUG